rnacentral:tRNA from 1 species
GGAGAAUUGGCCGAGUGGUCGAAGGCGCACGCUUGGAAAGCGUGUAUACCGCAAGGUAUCGGGGGUUCAAAUCCCCUGUUCUCCGCCA